rnacentral:rRNA from 1 species
UACGUAGGGGGCAAGCGUUGUCCGGAAUUACUGGGCGUAAAGCGCAUGUAGGCGGAGGGGUGUGUCGAACGUGAAAGGCUGCGGCUCAACCGCAGAGCGCCGUUCGAAACUGCCUUUCUUGAGGGCCGAAGAGGAGAGUGGAAUUCCCGGUGUAGUGGUGAUAUGCGUAGAUAUCGGGAGGAACACCAGUGGCGAAGGCGGCUCUCUGGGCCUUACCUGGACGCUGAGACGCGAAAGCGUGGGGAGCGAACCGG